rnacentral:rRNA from 1 species
UACGUAGGGUGCGAGCGUUGUCCGGAAUUACUGGGCGUAAAGAGCUUGUAGGCGGUUUGUCGCGUCUGCUGUGAAAUUUCGGGGCUCAACCCCGAACUUGCAGUGGGUACGGGCAGGCUAGAGUGUGGUAGGGGAGACUGGAAUUCCUGGUGUAGCGGUGAAAUGCGCAGAUAUCAGGAGGAACACCGAUGGCGAAGGCAGGUCUCUGGGCCACUACUGACGCUGAGAAGCGAAAGCAUGGGGGAGCGAACAGG